rnacentral:lncRNA from 1 species
GUAUAAUGGGAGCAGGUGGGGCCAUCGCAGCGCCAGGGGCAGUGUGGGUUACAGUCCCUCAGGGCCGGAAACAAGUAAUGCCGCUUCUCCUCAGACCAGGACUUCAUGAGAUCCACUACGGACCGGUACCUGGGGAGGCGGGGGACACGGAAGAAGCUGGGUGAGAGGAUGGAAAAGUGGCUCGGCCGCCAACUUGCUGGUGACCUUGGGUGAUCACUUUGCUUCCUUUCCCCCAUCUCAGUUUCCUAUCUGUGAGCAGGAGGGCAGUGGCCCUGCCUCACAGGCAUGUGCCCAGAGAAGCCGGUGCUAGCUGCCGUGGUGGACGAGUCAUUGGAGGGGAGGUCCUCCUCCUAGCCGUGACAGCAGCAUCUGCACGCGUGUCACGCCUGGGAGGCCCCAGGGUAGCUGGUGUCACUAGCAGUUCGUGUUUGCAGACCCACUUUGGGCAGCAUGAGCUUGACUGGGCAGGUGGUGACAAGCGGGGUCGUGUGUGUCUCUGUAUAUGUAGGGGUGUUCAAUGGGGUGGGGAUGAACCAGCCCAUGUCACCACUCCCCCGCCUCCCCUUGGAGUUAGGAGCUGGCCCCUGCCCUGUUUGGGAGAUGCCAUCUCACCUCUGUCCUGCCUGCCUGUGGCAGACCCCGCGCAGACCCCACCCUGCGUCAGAUCAGAUCCCUCCAGCGCGUGACAGAAUCCCUUUACGACCUGUGGAAGAGCCUCGCCCCAGCCUGUGACAGGCAGAGCCCCCGCCUGUGAGAUACUCACAGAGGGCUGGAACCCCCUAGUCUGUGCCCUUUCCCCUGGAUCUCCUUGGAUCAUCUCAGCCACUCAGAAUGCAUGGCAGUGGCCCAGAAAAGCAAUCCCAGCUGGGCGCUUUGAGACAUCUCCUUAACUCCACCCAUCCACUCCUUUGCUUGCUUGCUUGCUUUUUUCAAAACUCCCGGUUAGUAAGUUUAUUGCACAAAAACUCUGUUGAGGUCAUAAAGGGAAACUCUGAAAGAUAAAACUGCUCCCUUGAUGUGAGCCUAAGUGUUUUCCAGAGUAAGUGUCUCCGGCGUGUCCUGAAAGUCAGCCCAACUUUGGUUAUCUGCUUAAAACCCUGGUUCCUUUCACAGGCAGCUUCCUCAAAUGCCUGACGGGUCUUGGCUCUGGCAAGAUCUUCCUUAUCAGUCCCAGUGAAGAUUUUAGUGACAGGCCUGGGGGUGGUGCCUGAGAAUCCACUGGAACCUAGAAAAAAGUCCUUCUGUCCUUGGUCCACCUUCCUUCCUCACCCACCCUGAGAGGCUGGGCUAAGAAUAGAUCAUGAGAGUGGUAGUGGCCCCAAGUCUCUGUCCUGGGUUUAGGUCAGCCACCUUUCGUGAACACUGAGGAGGCGGACAAGGCAGCUGCUGCUUCCUCUGGCCUAGGUGAGCUGGGGGCCAAGUGGCCUGGCUGACAACACGCCCCUGUUGUUUGAAGGUAGCCAUGGAUCCUGGAGUUUUGUUCCAAGCCUCUGUGCUGAUUAAUGAGAGGGAACUCGUGAAUCCUGGGAUAUAGAAGGGACCUUAAAAAUCAUUUGGUCCUCCCAGCUCUGUUUGAUAGCUGAAGAAACUGAGGCCUGGAAAGGUAGGAGGUAUAGUAAGUUAAGUAAGAGUGAAGAUUUGAACCCCGGUCUUUUGGCUUAAAGUAAGACCUUGUUGCAAGACUGUUUCUGCCGUUAGGAAAGAACCAGGCUGGGCGCAGUGGCUCACACCUGUAAUCCAGGCACUUUGGGAGGCCAAGGCAGGUGGAUCACUUGAGGUCAGGAGUUCAAGACCAGCCUGGCCAACGUGGUGAAACCCCAUCUCUACUAAAAAUACAAAAAUUAGCCUGGCGUGGUGGUGCGUGCCUGUAAUUCCAACUACUGAGGAGGCUGAGGCAAGAGAAUCACUUGAACCUGGGAGGCGGAGGUUGCAGUGAGCUAAGAUCAUGCCACUGCAUUCCAGCCUGGAUGGCAGAGUGAGACUUCGUCUCAAAAUAAAUAAAUAAAUAAAAAUAAAAAUACAAAAAUUAGCCGAGUGUGGUGGUAGGUGCCUGUAAUCCCAGCUACUCCGGAGGCUGAGGCAGGAGAAUUGCUUGAACCCGGGAGGCGGAGGUUGCAGUGAGCCAAGAUCGUGCCACUGCACUCCUGGGUAAUAAGAGUGAAAACUCUGUCUCAAAAAAAAAAAAUUAUUUGGUCCCCCCAGCUCUGUUUAAUAGCUGAAGAAACUGAGGGCUGGAGAGGUAGGAGGUAUAAUAAAUUAAGUCAGAGUCAAGAGUUGAACCUGUGUCUUUGGCUUAAAGUAAAGCUCAUUGUUGUAAGACUGUUUCUGCCAUUAGGAAAGAACCAGGCCAGGUGCGUGGCUCAUACCUAUAAUCCCAGCACUUUGGGAGGCUGAGGUAGGAUAAUUGCUUGAGGCCUGGAGUUCAAGACCAGUGUGGGCAACAUAGCAAGGCCCCAUCUCCACAAAAAUAAUAAUUAAAAAAAAUUAGCCAGGCACAUUGGUACACACCUGUAAUCCCAGCUAUUUGUGAGGCUGAGGCAGGAGGAUUGCUUGA